AUGCUCCGUCCAUCAGAGCUGCCCAUGUGGAUACUACAGUCUUAUGUGUAUUUGUGUGCAAAUGUGCAGAUGUCUGCCCACAGCAGUGGUGAGAAGUGUUGCUCUCUGACUUUGAUUUCUGCCAGCAACCAUUCCAUUAAAAGGUACCAAAUGGAUAUCAGACUGAAUAUUGUGCUAAGGAAAUUCAAAACUGCAUCUCCUGCCAGAUCAGGAAUGUAAAAGAAUCUGAAAUGAAUGAACAUGAAAUGCUUUUUUCCUCCGUGCUGACAAACAUGUCAAGUGCUGAAAUGAAAGAGCAGAUAUAUGGACAUUUUUUAAAAGCUUAUGCCAAAACCAUCACUAUUUCCCUGGUAUGAUCUAUUUCCAGGCCUCCUUUAGCAGAACACAAAUUUAAUUGGAAAUUAGAUUCCUGUCAUAACGGCCUCAGGUAGGUUUUAAAUGUUUUGUCUCUGACUUCUGGAUCAAUUUGAAUAUCUGAGAACAGCAGAAACGAUACAACAAAUCUAUGAAGCAUAACAGGGGGCUCAGUUAGCAUUGAAUUUUAUUUCAUAAUCAUAUCUGGAAUAGUUUGCAAAAGAGUGAAAAUGUGACCCCUGUCAUUUCAGUUAGUGAUGCACUGAAUACUUCAUCGUUCUAUCUAUUCUUAUUUAGUUUGAUAAAAGGGAGAUUUGAUAAGGGAAAAAGCUAAGAAUAAAAUGUUGAUUUCUCUCUGUGUAUAAAAACUUGGUACUGUUAUAUUAUCUGGGCGGAGAUCACUAGAAGGUGCUAGACAGAGAAGGAUAGUCCAUUUUAUGUGGGUCGGGGGAGUGGAAAGAGGAAAACCAUUUCCCCCAUUUUUGCUGGUUAUGUCUUCUCCCCCCUUCUCAUAUCAUAAACAAGGGUUAUUUCCACAACGGGGACUUGGGUGGGGGGGAAUAACAGGAAAACAGGGGGAAAUGGUUUUCCUCUUUCAACCCACCCUCUACUCGCAUAAAAUGGACUAUCCUUUUCUGUCUAGUGUCCCCUAGUGGCCUCUGUCCGGAUAAUGGAACAGUACCGAACUUUUUUUCUCCAAUGGACUACAUCCUUUCUGAUAUCUUGCACUUCAGUUUAAACCCAGGAACAUGUUGUAACUCAGCAAGUGGCAGAGGAUUUUUCUGAUGUUUCAGAGGAUGAGGGGUUUCAAAGUGAGGAGUGUGGGAGGGAUCAGAGAGAAUUGCAGGCAAUUGAGGCUGAUGUUUUGGAUUUCUGUGCUCGUUCCCAGGCAACACAAAGUGAAAGCUCCAAUUCCCUUGUGAAGCAGCCUUGGGCCAAUGGGGGAUUUUCCCGGGAAACUAGAUUAGGUCUGAUAAGGCAAGGAGUGAAAAAUAGAUAAAUGAGGUAUUCUCAGAGAAUCCAAAAAUCCAAACACCUUGAAGGUCAGGGGUGUUUGGCAUGAUCUCAUGGGCACCUGAAUGGGCUUAAAUUAGGUGGUUUGGGCUUUAAGUUUUCAGAGGAGACAACAUUGCUUAAAGGAUGGCUUUGCUGUCUCUGCUCUCAAGUUCAUGAUUCAAGUUUCCUGUUCUGGUUCAUGUUUUUGUUUCCAGGGUUUGCCCUGGAAAAAGUUCCUGUUUUCAGGUUUAUGGAUUCAUGUUUGAAGUACUGCUGUGGAUUUUGUUUCUGUUAACUUUAUGUACUUUGUCACUUUUGGAUUUUCUAUUCUGCUGGCCAUUAGAAAUGUCCCCUUUCUCCUUUUUACCUGGUUUCUUUAAUAAACAUUUUUAGACAGUAC
rnacentral:lncRNA from 11 species